AAACGGCUGGAGUCAAAGAAACUUUGAACUAUUUAUGGCCUUUAAUAAUUAAGUAAGGUAUACUCCUGUGAUCAAGACUUGGAGCAUAUUUGUUUCUCUCUGCCUGGUUCCUCUAGAAAUUGGAAACUAUCAGAACAGAGACCAACUCCGUUUCCCGAUCCCUUUGCAAUCUGCAUUGAACCAUGAGUCAAGUUCUUGAUAAAGGAGUGAAAAUGGAUGACAUUUAAGGCACAUCUGAAGAUGGGGAAACCACAGCACAGAAUAAGGCUGGGCCCUUGAAUCAAUAAAUGAAGGAGAACUACUCAAGAGAACAAAACCACCAGCAAUAUCCACCUGUAUUUGUCUUUUCAUAAUGUGUGACACAUGUGCUCAUGGAUUAUUGUCCGAAGCAAGACAUGUGACCAAGCCUAACAUCAACUGGGUGAAGAGCUAUAUGUUCCUUUCUCAAGAGGCACUACAAGUGACAUGCCACUGG
rnacentral:lncRNA from 1 species